rnacentral:rRNA from 1 species
UAGAUACCCCACUAUGCCCAGCCGUAAAACAUUAAAUUACAUCAUAAAUCGCCUGAGAACUACGAGCACACGCUUAAAACUCAAAGGACUUGACGGUGUCCCAUCCAACUAGAGGAGCCUGUUCUAUAAUCGAUAAUCCCCGAUAAACCUCACCACUUCUAGCCGAUCAGUCUGUAUACCUCCGUCGAAAGCUUACCCUGUGAACGAUCAUUAGUAGGCAACAAGGUCUAUCCACCAAAACGUCAGGUCAAGGUGCAGCUUACGAAGUGGGAAGAAAUGGGCUACAAUUUCUAAGCUAGAACAAACGAAAAGAUAUGCAUGAAACACAAUCAUGAAGGCGGAUUUAGUAGUAAAAAGAAAAUAGAGUGUUCUUUUUAAUCAAGCACUGGGACGUGU